rnacentral:rRNA from 1 species
CCUACGGGAGGCAGCAGUGAGGAAUAUUGGUCAAUGGGCGAGAGCCUGAACCAGCCAAGUCGCGUGAGGGAGUACUGCCCUAUGGGUUGUAAACCUCUUUUGUCGGGGAGCAAAAGCCGGACGUGUCCGGCUGUGAGAGUACCCGAAGAAAAAGCAUCGGCUAACUCCGUGCCAGCAGCCGCGGUAAUACGGGGGAUGCGAGCGUUAUCCGGAUUUAUUGGGUUUAAAGGGUGCGCAGGCGGGUUUUUAAGUCAGCGGUAAAAUCGUGGGGCUCAACCCCAUCCAGCCGUUGAAACUGGGGAUCUAGAGUGUGCGAGAGGUAUGUGGAAUGCGUGGUGUAGCGGUGAAAUGCAUAGAUAUCACGCAGAACCCCGAUUGCGAAGGCAGCAUACCGGUGCACAACUGACGCUCAGGCACGAAAGCGUGGGUAUCGAACAGGAUUAGAUACCCUUGUAGUC